GAUGAACGCUAGCGGCAGGCUUAACACAUGCAAGUCGAGGGGCAGCACGAUGUAGCAAUACAUGGGUGGCGACCGGCGCACGGGUGCGUAACACGUAUGGAAUCUGCCCUUUACUGGGGAAUAGCCCUCCGAAAGGAGGAUUAAUGCCCCAUAACAAGCUGAGUGGCAUCACUUGGCUUUGAAAGCUCCGGCGGUAAAGGAUGACCAUGCGCACGAUUAGCUAGUUGGUGAGGUAACGGCUCACCAAGGCUACGAUCGUUAGGGGGCCUGAGAGGGUUAUCCCCCACACUGGUACUGAGACACGGACCAGACUCCUACGGGAGGCAGCAGUGAGGAAUAUUGCGCAAUGGAGGCAACUCUGACGCAGCCAUGCCGCGUGCAGGAAGAAGGCGCUACGCGUUGUAAACUGCUUUUAACCGGGAAGAAACCCCAGGACGUGUCCUGGGUUGACGGUACCGGAGGAAUAAGCACCGGCUAACUUCGUGCCAGCCGCCGCAGUAACAC
rnacentral:rRNA from 1 species